AUUGAACGCUGGCGGCAGGCUUAACACAUGCGAGUCGAGCGGGGGAAGGUAGCUUGCUACCGGACCUAGCGGCGGACGGGUGAGUAAUGCUUAGGAAUCUGCCUAUUAGUGGGGGACAACAUCUCGAAAGGGAUGCUAAUACCGCAUACGUCCUACGGGAGAAAGCAGGGGAUCUUCGGACCUUGCGCUAAUAGAUGAGCCUAAGUCGGAUUAGCUAGUUGGUGGGGUAAAGGCCUACCAAGGCGACGAUCUGUAGCGGGUCUGAGAGGAUGAGCCGCCACACUGGGACUGAGACACGGCCCAGACUCCUACGGGAGGCAGCAGUGGGGAUAUUGGACAAUGGGGGGAACCCUGAUCCAGCCAUGCCGCGUGUGUGAAGAAGGCCUUAUGGUUGUAAAGCACUUUAAGCGAGGAGGAGGCUACUUUAGUUAAUACCUAGAGAUAGUGGACGUUACUCGCAGAAUAAGCACCGGCUAACUCUGUGCCAGCCGCCGCGGUAA
rnacentral:rRNA from 1 species